rnacentral:ncRNA from 1 species
CUAAUAAAAGAUCCCUCAGUUCAGAUUGAGGGCUGAAACUCGCCCUCAUGAAGUUGGAAUCGGUAGUAAUCGCGAAUCAUAAGGUCGCGGUGAAUACGUUCUCGCUCCUUGCACAAAUUAAAAUGCGCCUUC